rnacentral:rRNA from 1 species
CCUACGGGAGGCAGCAGUGAGGAAUAUUGGUCAAUGGUCGCGAGCCUGAACCAGCCAAGCCGCGUGAGGGAAGACGGUCCUAUGUAUUGUAAACCUCUUUUGUCGGGGAGCAAAGACUGCGACGCGUGCCCGUCCGAGAGUACCCGAAGAAAAAGCAUCGGCUAACUCCGUGCCAGCAGCCGCGGUAAUACGGAGGAUGCGAGCGGUAUCCGGAUUUCUUGGGUUUAAAGGGUGCGCAGGCGGUAGUUCAAGUCAGCGGUCAAAUUGAGGGGCUCAACCCCGUCGAGCCGUUGAAACUGGUAGUCGUGAGUGAGGGAGAAGUAUGCGGAAUGCGUGGUGUAGCGGUGAAAUGCAUAGAUAUCGCGCAGAACUCCGAUUGCGAAGGCAGCAUACCGGCUCUAAACUGACGCUCAUGCACGAAAGUGUGGGUAUCGAACAGGAUUAGAUACCCGGGUAGUC